rnacentral:rRNA from 1 species
AACGGAGGAUCCGAGCGUUAUCCGGAUUUAUUGGGUUUAAAGGGAGCGUAGGCGGGUUGUUAAGUCAGUUGUGAAAGUUUGCGGCUCAACCGUAAAAUUGCAGUUGAUACUGGCAUCCUUGAGUACAGUAGAGGUAGGCGGAAUUCGUGGUGUAGCGGUGAAAUGCUUAGAUAUCACGAAGAACCCCGAUAGCGAAGGCAGCUUACCAGACUGUUACUGACGCUGAAGCACGAGAGCGUGGGUAGCGAACAGG